GGCGGGCGCUGUAAGAGUGGAGAAGCUGCAGGUGCUGAGGCGCGGUGAAAGAAACCCUGGGAGCCAAGAGCACGAGGAGCUGGUGUCUGUGUCACAUUUGUACUUGCGGCAUAUAGUAAAAUGUUAUGAGGCCUAUGAAGAACCAGGAAAUAUUUGAAGAGAUAAUGGUCAAGACUUUUCCAAAAUUGAUGAAAGAAUCAGCCCACAGAUUCAAGAAGCUCAGCAAACUCCAAAAUAAACACAUAGGAAACCACCCUAGACAACUAUUGUCAAACUUCGG
rnacentral:lncRNA from 1 species